GUCUUCGUAGCUUAAUCGGAUAGAGCAUCAGAUUGCGGAUCUGAAGGUUGCGCGUUCGAGUCGCGCCGAGGACA
rnacentral:tRNA from 2 species